AGGGAGGCAGGAAACCGUGGAACUGACACUCAAGGGGAAUGUCUUUGCAAGUCCUAUGCACGACUCCAAGCAGCAAUUUCUGGGGUUUGGAGAUUUGUUAGUUUUGCGACGUAUUCCCCCCAAAAGAAGACAUGAAGUGCGGAUGGUGCUGAGGAAGGCCCAGUGGCCGCCUGGUAAGGUCCUGGAACCGACAUUUACCCAGCACCGGCGGUGGACGGUGAGCGGCGUCUGGGCCCAGAGCUGGGUGCCAUCAGCAGUAAGAGGACCCCUGCGCUCGCGGGGUGCCCGCCUUACCCCGCGGGGAGGGGUCAGGCCUAGGGGCCACGGCCCGCUUCGCUCUCUGA
rnacentral:lncRNA from 1 species